CUGAUUUACUUUUUGUUAUAUAUAUUUGAUACGUGUUCUUCCUUGCUCCCACCUCUAGCUUCUGCCAAUUAGAUACGACGGACAACAAAAACUCCAUCACCGCUUCAACUGACCGCCUCAUCUACUACUCAUUUAUUCCAUCUGCUGAUUCCAUCCAACCCUGUUGUUCCCUGCUCCCACCACUUCUUCCGACUGAUCAAAUUUUCUUCCUAUUUCUAUUGUCUCCUCCAUUACUUUUCAUAUCUUGAGUUCCUCAAGUCAAUCCUCCCCUGCUCGCCUUCCCCACUUUGGUUUAAUCCUCCACCGGGUUCCGCCUCAGGCAACUCCAGACCACCAUCCCCACCCUUCUAAUUUGUCGCCUCCAAGACAGGAACGAAAUAACAAAGCAAUCAGCAAGCGGCAGUGGUAGUAGUGGUGUUAUUUGGAGUUAGAAAUGGAAGUGUUACUGCCUGACCUGUGCUCAAUCCCUCUAGGUUGUUAUGUUAUUUUUAGUUGAUGGAAACCAGGUCGCAUGACACGCACCUUCUCGCCCUUCAGUGUUAUGCACACAAACUAUUUGUAGAAAUGCCAUAGAAUUUCUCUAUGUUUAUAGAUGCAUGGUUGGAGUAAUUCUUUCUUGGGCGUCGUUCAGGUAAUAUUCUUGCCUCUUUUGCCCUUAGAUGAUUAACGUUGACCUUUUGUUACAUAGAAUUGUUGAUUAUAUUGAAAUUAUCACCAUCUUAAAUUAAUCAAUCAUAGUUAGUUGUGACAACAAUAAAGAUCAAGUAUUAAGCCGGAAUCUUUAAAAUUGAUCGGUCUUUCAAGGAGGCGUCACCGUCACUAGCGACCGGAAUCAGCUUUGUUGCCGGAAUUUAAUAACCACUAUCUAAUAUUAUCAGAUGAUAAACUAUUGUGCUUCUCAUGGACCACUUGGGAUGGCUACGGUUUCAAAUGAAGAUGCGAACACCCCUGUUCACGGCUGAAUUUUAUGAGGAAACUGUUAGAGUAGAUCUAAAUUUCGAGAAAUGGACCGACAGAUGAUAGAACACAGCCUUUUUUAUGUUCAGUUUUGUGUAGUUCUUGAUUUUGUCUGUAGACAAGUGGCUGAGGCCGCAUUGUUGUUUGUGUGGUCCGGGUGUUGAUGUUGUGUUUAUCUAUGAAAGUAAAGCAGUUUUGUUGAAUGGGAAUUCAUGGAUUUUGAAAAACACAACAAGGCAUUGUGUCAUUUGUAAAUCUUGAAUUCCAUCCCUACAGUUCUUAAAAUUAAGACUAAGAUCUAUAAACUGUAUUGCACAAAUAGUUUUCGUGUGUGAAUCUACCUGUGCUUCUAAUUUUUGUUUUUUUUUCUUAUUUUUGAACACAUCAUCUUUAGAAUAUUAAUAGAUUACAAGAAGUAGGCGAAUGAGGUGUAGACUCACAAGAUAAAAGAGAGGGUAAAGCAAAAGAAAUAUCAGGCACUCUGUGGGUUUGGGUUUGCUGAAGGUGAUAAAGAGAAAAUGUUUUUCAUCGGGAUUUAAAACCAAAAAUAUAUUGGCGAAUGUGGAUUGCAAACUCAAGAUUUGUGAUUUUGGUCUUGCGAGAGUUGCUUUCAACGAUACACCUACUACAAUAUUUUGGACACUACAUUUAUUUUUAUUCCCAUUAUUGAAUUAUUUGUAAUCUGUUUUUUAUUAUAUAGUUUAUAGUUGACAUUUUUAUGUUUUUUGGAUGUGUUUUCAGGAUUAUGUUGCAACAAGAUGGUAUAGGGAUUCGAAAUUGAGUGGAUCAUCUUUCUCUAAGGAUGUGCAAGAUUUUGUAGAUACUAAGCAGACCACUUCAGACAUGACACAAUUUGUAAGUUUGUUGAACCUUUGAUGGUAUACAAGAUACAGUAUAUGGUGUUUGUAAACACUAAAGCUUUCGCAUAUGUAUGUCACUUUUUCUUAAAGUUUCAUGUAAGAACUGUUUGAUUAUAGUCUUUCUUGAAAGUGGGUCUACUAAUAUUAAAUCUGUAAUUACCAGGGUGAUUUCCAUUACCUAAAUCUGUAAUAUUUGCAAUUUCAUGUUAAAAAUUCUUUUAGGGCUAAAUACAAGAAGUAGCAUCCUACUUUCACUCUUUCUAUUACAGCAUUGUACUUCCAAUAAUUUUCUUAUUAAGACACUGUACGUUGAAAAGUCUAUGAGUAUAUGUAAAACAUUGUAACGUUUGUUGUUAUUUCCUGUUUUUUA